rnacentral:rRNA from 1 species
GACGAACGCUGGCGGCGUGCUUAACACAUGCAAGUCGAACGGUGAAGCGCCUUCCUUUUUGGUUGCUGUGGUGGCGUGGGGAACGGGUGAGUAAGACGUGAGUAACCUGCCCCCUUCUACUAGUUAACCGCAUGAAGGUGAGGCUAAUACGGGAUAUUCUGCGUCUGUCGCAGGAUGGGUCUGUGUAAGAUAUUGUUUCGGUGGGGGAUGGGCUCGCGGCCGAUCAGGUUGUUGGUGGGGUCAUGGCCUACCAAGGCGGUGGCGGGUAGCCGGCCUGAGAGGGUGGCCGGUCAGACUGGGUAUGAGGCACGGCCGAGACUGAUAUGGGAGGCAGCAGUGGGGGAUAUGGCACAGUGGGGGAGAGCGUAAUGCAGCGAGGCGGCGUGAGGGAUGGAGCCGUGCGGGGUGUGAACCUCUUUCGGUAGUGAAGCAGGCCUGCCUCGUAUGUGGGUGGGUUGACGGUAGCUGGAUAAGAAGCGCCGGCUAACUACGUG